rnacentral:sRNA from 1 species
GCUUCGACCAAGGUUCGAUUCGAGCGUUAGCGAGAAAGCGUUGCCGCAGGCAACGACCCGAAGGGCGAAGCGCGCAGCGCUGAGUAAUCCUUCCCCCACCACCA